rnacentral:sRNA from 1 species
AAGACCUUUAACAAUAGUCCUGUGAGGCUAGGAAGGCUGCGAUUAGCAAGUUUGCUUACGGUACACGUAUGCCCUUUUCCAUCAGCAGGAAAAGGGCAUUUUUAUG